rnacentral:rRNA from 1 species
UAAUACGGAGGAUCCAAGCGUUAUCCGGAAUUAUUGGGUUUAAAGGGUCCGUAGGUGGAUAAUUAAGUCAGAGGUGAAAUCCUGCAGCUUAACUGUAGAAUUGCCUUUGAUACUGGUUAUCUUGAGUUAUUAUGAAGUGAUUAGAAUGUGUAGUGUAGCGGUGAAAUGCAUAGAUAUUACACAGAAUACCAAUUGCGAAGGCAGGUCACUAAUAAUCAACUGACACUGAGGGACGAAAGCGUGGGUAGCGAACAGGAUUAGAUACCCCGGUAGUCCACGCCGUAAACGAUGGUCACUAGCUGUUUGGACUUCGGUCUGAGUGGCUAAGCGAAGGUGAUAAGUGACCCACCUGGGGAGUACGUUCGCAAGAAUG